rnacentral:rRNA from 1 species
UACGAAGGGGGCUAGCGUUGCUCGGAAUCACUGGGCGUAAAGCGCACGUAGGCGGCUUACUAAGUCAGGGGUGAAAUCCUGGAGCUCAACUCCAGAACUGCCUUUGAUACUGGUGAGCUUGAGUCCGGAAGAGGUGAGUGGAACUGCGAGUGUAGAGGUGAAAAUUCGUAGAUAUUCGCAAGAACACCAGUGGCGAAGGCGGCUCACUGGUCCGGUACUGACGCUGAGGUGCGAAAAGCGUGGGGGAGCAAACAGG